rnacentral:lncRNA from 10 species
AUAAAUAAAUAAAUAAAUAAAUAAAUAAAUAAGUAAAUGGGUCUUGCUCUGUCACCUAGGCUGGAGUGCAGUGGUGCAAUCAUAGCUCACUGCAGCCUGGAACUUCUGGGCUCAAGCAAUCCUCUCACCUCAGCCUCCAGAGUAGCUGGGACUACAGGCAUGCACCACCAUGGCCAGCUACAGAAUUUGCAUUUUUAACAAAUCUCCAGAUGACGUGAGAAGCACUGGACUAUAUGCCUUUUCUGCCU